GAAACAAUGAGGGUAACCUGGUGGAGAAGCGCAGCUAGGAAGACAGUAAUAUAUCUCUUUCCGAUUCAUCCUUAACUCACUUUCAAGCCUGGCCAACAGAUGCAGGAAAAUGAGGAGAGAACUGUAAAGGCUAUGAUUAAAAAACAGGUGCUGGGCUGGGCUUUCCAUUGACAAUUACCGAAUGAAGCACUCCAGAGCGACAAGAUAAAUACUUCCUGAGGAACCUCUAAGACCAUGAGGAAAAGAAGGUCUACGUUUCUGUCAAGGGAUGCAGAACAAGAUGCAGCUAUCGGCAGAGAAACGUGUAUUAGGAUGUCAUCUUCUUGAAUGAAUAUGAGAUUUCAUUACAGCCUGAUGGAGCUUUUAGACAAAGGAAGACCCUGAAGACAUACCUGUUUUCCAAGGCCUUCAACUGAAACUCUUUUUAAAUUUUUUAUGUGUUAUUAAUGUGUUUUUAUUUGUUAUAUUUUAUUUUUAUGAAAUUUAAAUGUGUUAUGUGUUAUGUUUUUAAUUCUGUACACUACCUAGAGAUUUUUUAUACUAGGCAGUAUAUAAAUUCAAUAAAUAAAUAACUUUACCAAAUAA